rnacentral:tRNA from 1 species
GAGCGUAUAGCUCAGUGGUACAGUGCGUGCUUAGCAAGCACGAAGUCCUGGGUUCAGUGCCCAGUGCCUCCA